UUGGAGGGCAAGUCUGGUGCCAGCAGCCGCGGUAAUUCCAGCUCCAAUAGCGUAUAUUAAAGUUGUUGCAGUUAAAAAGCUCGUAGUUGAAUUUCGGGGUCAGUAGGUUGGUCAUGCCACAGGUAUGUACUGGCCUCACUGAUUCCUCCUUCCUGAUGAGCCGUAAUGCCAUUAAUUUGGUGUUGCGAGGAAUCUGGACUGUUACUUUGAAAAAAUUAGAGUGUUUAAAGCAGGCUAACGCUUGAAUACAUUAGCAUGGAAUAAUGAAAUAGGACGUUCGAUCUUAUUUUGUUGGUUUCUAAGAUUGACGUAAUGAUUAAUAGGGAUAGUUGGGGGCAUUAGUAUUCAAUUGUCAGAGGUGAAAUUCUUGGAUUUAUUGAAGACUAACUACUGCGAAAGCAUUUGCCAAGGAUGUUUUCAUUAAUCAAGAACGAAAGUUAGGGGAUCGAAGACGAUCAGAUACCGUCGUAGUCUUAACCAUAAACUAUGCCGACUAGGGAUCGGAUGAUGUUAAUUUUUUAAUGACUCAUUCGGCGCCUUACGGGAAAC
rnacentral:rRNA from 2 species